rnacentral:tRNA from 1 species
GGCGGAGUGGUAGAGUGGUUAAUACGGUAGACUCGAAACGACGAUAUCUACUGCCUUCGGGCGCGCAGGUUCGAGUCCUGUCUCCGUCG